rnacentral:rRNA from 1 species
UUUCUCGAGCGAGUGGCGAACGGGUGAGUAACGCGUGAGGAACCUGCCUCAAAGAGGGGGACAACAGUUGGAAACGACUGCUAAUACCGCAUAAGCCCACGACCCGGCAUCGGGUAGAGGGAAAAGGAGCAAUCCGCUUUGAGAUGGCCUCGCGUCCGAUUAGCUAGUUGGUGAGGUAAUGGCCCACCAAGGCGACGAUCGGUAGCCGGACUGAGAGGUUGAACGGCCACAUUGGGACUGAGACACGGCCCAGACUCCUACGGGAGGCAGCAGUGGGGAAUAUUGCACAAUGGGGGAAACCCUGAUGCAGCGACGCCGCGUGGAGGAAGAAGGUCUUCGGAUUGUAAACUCCUGUUGUUGAGGAAGAUAAUGACGGUACUCAACAAGGAAGUGACGGCUAACUACGUGCCAGCAGCCGCGGUAAAACGUAGGUCACAAGCGUUGUCCGGAAUUACUGGGUGUAAAGGGAGCGCAGGCGGGAAGACAAGUUGGAAGUGAAAUCCAUGGGCUCAACCCAUGAACUGCUUUCAAAACUGUUUUUCUUGAGUAGUGCAGAGGUAGGCGGAAUUCCCGGUGUAGCGGUGGAAUGCGUAGAUAUCGGGAGGAACACCAGUGGCGAAGGCGGCCUACUGGGCACCAACUGACGCUGAGGCUCGAAAGUGUGGGUAGCAAACAGGAUUAGAUACCCUGGUAGUCCACACUGUAAACGAUGAUUAUUAGGUGUGGGAGGAU